GAUGAACGCUGGCGGCGUGCUUAACACAUGCAAGUCGAACGGUGAAGGCGGAGCUUGCUCUGCUGGAUCAGUGGCGAACGGGUGAGUAACACGUGAGCAAUCUGCCCCUGACUCUGGGAUAAGCGCUGGAAACGGCGUCUAAUACUGGAUACGAGCUGCGAAGGCAUCUUCAGCAGCUGGAAAGAAUUUCGGUCAGGGAUGAGCUCGCGGCCUAUCAGCUUGUUGGUGAGGUAAUGGCUCACCAAGGCGUCGACGGGUAGCCGGCCUGAGAGGGUGACCGGCCACACUGGGACUGAGACACAGCCCAGACUCCUACGGGAGGCAGCAGUGGGGAAUAUUGCACAAUGGGCGAAAGCCUGAUGCAGCAACGCCGCGUGAGGGACGACGGCCUUCGGGUUGUAAACCUCUUUUAGCAGGGAAGAAGCGAAAGUGACGGUACCUGCAGAAAAAGCGCCGGCUAACUACGUG
rnacentral:rRNA from 1 species